rnacentral:rRNA from 1 species
UACUACAACUAGCCCGAACUACCUAAACUAAAUUACCCUUCUUCACUUAAUCAAAACAUUUACCAUCUUAGCAUUAGUAUAGGAGAUAGAAAACUCACCUAGGCGCUAUAGAAACAGUACCGCAAGGGAAAGAUGAAAGAACACAAUUCUAAAGUUUAAAAAAGCAAAGCUUACAACUUAUACCUUUUGCAUAAUGACUUAACUAGAACAACUUCACAAAGAGACCUUAAGCCAAUAGCCCCGAAACCAGACGAGCUACCUGCGGGCAGUAGACGAACAAACUCAUCUAUGUAGCAAAAUAGUGAGAAGACCCUCAGGUAGGGGUGAAAAGCCUAUCGAGCCUGGUGAUAGCUGGUUGUCCAGAAUAGAAUUUUAGUUCAGCUUUAAACUUAUCUAAAGAGACAAAAAUCCUAAUAUAAGCUUAAACGUUAGUUCAACGAGGUACAGCUCGUUGAAUAAAGGAUACAACCUUAUGUAGAGAGUAAUCAAAUUAUCUAGCCAUAGUAGGCCUAAAAGCAGCCACCAAUUAAGAAAGCGUUAAAGCUCAACACUAACCCAUCCCCUUAUUCCACUCUAUAAGAGCAACUCCUACAACCACACUGGACCAAUCUAUUUAUCAAUAGAAGAAAUAAUGUUAAUAUGAGUAACAAGAAUACCAUUCUCCUUGCACAGACCUAUAUCAGAUCGGAUGCCCACUGAUAGUUAAACAAACAAGUACCACAAACCACCUACUUAAAUGGUACAAAACAAUUCGUUAACCCAACACAGGUGUGCACUACUAUAAAGGAAAGAUUAAAAUAAGUAAAAGGAACUCGGCAAAACCAAACCCCGCCUGUUUACCAAAAACAUCACCUCUAGCAUAACUAGUAUUAGAGGCACUGCCUGCCCAGUGACCAAAGUUCAACGGCCGCGGUAUCCUGACCGUGCAAAGGUAGCAUAAUCACUUGUUCCUUAAUUGAGGACUAGAAUGAACGGCCACACGAGGGUUUAACUGUCUCUUACUUACAAUCAGUGAAAUUGACCUCUUCGUGAAGAGGCGAAGAUACACGAAUAAGACGAGAAGACCCUAUGGAGCUUAAAUUCAACACCCAUGUUUCACACUACAACUCCCCAGAGCACAACACUCCUACACCUGGGUACACAAUUUCGGUUGGGGUGACCUCGGGGCACAAAUAAACCCCCGAGUAAUAUUUACCCAGACUCCACCAGUCAAAGUACACAAACACCAUUUACAUUGACCCAAAUAGUUGAUCAACGGAACAAGUUACCCUAGGGAUAACAGCGCAAUCCUAUUCUAGAGUCCAUAUCGACAAUAGGGUUUACGACCUCGAUGUUGGAUCAGGACGUCCCAAUGGUGUAACCGCUAUUAAUGGUUCGUUUGUUCAACGAUUAAAGUCCUACGUGAUCUGAGUUCAGACCGGAGAAAUCCAGGUCGGUUUCUAUCUAUUAACAUUUCUCCCAGUACGAAAGGACAAGAGAAAUAGAGCCAAUUAUACAAUCAAGCUCUCAGCUAAAUAGAUGACAUCAUCUUAAUCUAGUACUUCCCACACUACCCUGCCCAAAAACAGGGUUC